rnacentral:rRNA from 1 species
GAUGAACGCUAGCGGCAGGCUUAAUACAUGCAAGUCGAGGGGUAGCAAGAUUGUAGCAAUACAAUUGUUGACGACCGGCAAACGGGUGCGGAACACGUACACAACCUUCCUACAAGUGGGGAAUAGCCCAGAGAAAUUUGGAUUAAUACCCCGUAACAUAGCGAUGUGGCAUCACAUUGCUAUUCUAGCUUCGGCGCUUGUUGAUGGGUGUGCGGCUGAUUAGAUAGUUGGCGGGGUAACGACCCACCAAGUCUACGAUCAGUAGCUGAUGUGAGAGCAUGAUCAGCCACACGGGCACUGAGACACGGGCCCGACUCCUACGGGAGGCAGCAGUAAGGAAUAUUGGACAAUGGACGCAAGUCUGAUCCAGCCAUGCCGCGUGAAGGAUUAAGGUCCUCUGGAUUGUAAACUUCUUUUAUAAGGGACGAAAAAAGGUCUUUCUAGAUCGUCUGACGGUACCUUAUGAAUAAGCACCGGCUAACUCCGUGCCAGCCGCCGCGGUAACAC